rnacentral:rRNA from 1 species
GGACCCGCACAAGCGGUGGAGCAUGUGGUUUAAUUCGAUGCAACGCGAAAAACCUUACCUACUCUUGACAUACUUGGAAGCUCUUGUAAUGAGAGUGUGCCUUUUGGAGCCAAGAUACAGGUGCUGCAUGGCUGUCGUCAGCUCGUGUCGUGAGAUGUUCCGUUAAGUCGGAUAACGAGCGCAACCCUUACCCUUAUUUGCCAGCGAUUCGGUCGGGAACUAUAAGGGGACUGCCGGUGAUAAACCGGAGGAAGGUGAGGACGACGUCAAGUCAUCAUGGCCCUUACGAGUAGGGCUACACACGUGCUACAAUGGGGAAUACAGACGGACGCUAAGCCGCGAGGUGGUGCUAAUCCUAGAAAGUUCUUCGUAGUCCGGAUUGGAGUCUGCAACUCGACUCCAUGAAGUCGGAAUCGCUAGUAA